rnacentral:misc_RNA from 1 species
CACAGUUCGUGAACCCUCGAUGACUCGGUUUAAAACUCGGUGUAAUCAUCAGCAGGCAAUUUCCAUUCCCAAACGGUGUCUGAUUCGGUUGGGCUCACCGUUCGUCGAGUGCGGCGGAGUCGAGUGCCAAAGUUCAUCGUGAGAUCCUGCCCUCCUCGCGGCUAAAGGAGACGCGGCAAGGCCGGUAAAGUGAUAAAGCGGCCAUAAAUUCUGACCGCCAUCCUCCCGCCAAGCCCCUCUAUCUUGCCGGCUCUUCACUCCACCGCCUCGCACUUCUCCCUUCUUCGUCCGUCUAUCUGUCUAUCUCUUUCUUUCCUUCCCUUUCC